GGGUUCACUCCAAGAAGGAAAGCCUGACCGAUAAUCAGGCUAGAGAGGUUAAACUCCUCUUGAACCCU
rnacentral:tRNA from 1 species